AGUACUAAAACUGCUAUACGAAUUCAGAUAAAUUGUUUUGCCGCUGCAACCUGUAACUAUCGUGAUGGGGAACUACUCUACACCAUCACCGGGGACCAAUAACAACGUAGAACCAGGAAGACCAACGCGUGACUGUGGAAGAAGAAGAAGAAACAUGCAUCACAGCGAAGUGGAUGAGAAUCCAGACUAUGACAAUCUGGAUAUCGUGAGCCGCGAUGCUGAAGAACGAUACUUUGAUGAUGAUGAUGAUGAUGAUGAUGAGGAAGAGGGGGGGGGGAGAGGUAGAGGAAGAAGAAGAAGAAGAAGAUGAUGAGGAGAACGUACAAAAAUAAUUUUUCCUUUUUGAAAAUCCCCAGAACUGUAAAUGCAAUUUUCAUUUUUCAUCAUUAUGCAGUUGAAUCCUGUAUACAUUCAUAUUUCUGUGUAAAUCUCUCUGCUUUUUCUUUGAUCAUUUCUGUAUGAAAGGGGAGACACAUUUUCAUUAAAUUAUGUAAAUCUUUGUAGGUG